GCCUUGUUAGCACAGUAGGUAGCACAUCAGGCUCAUAAUUUGAAGGUGUGAGUUUGAUUCUCACACAGGGCA